GGCCAUACACAUUCUCUCCUGAGCAGCAUAGCUUGUCAGCUGUUUACAUUGUGCUGGGUGUUAGAAGGGACAGAGAAAUGAUUUAAAGCACACAGAAAGGCGUGCUCAGGAUGAUGCAGAUCGCAUGCUGUUGUGUAUAUAGGACUUCAACAUCUAAAGAUUUGAGAUCUCUGGGGCUAUUUACUUGCCACAUUGGUGAUUCUGAUGAUGCAGGCCUCUGAACUCUAGCAGACUACAGCUUCGUUUCCAUCGGCAAUCACGUCAGCUGGGUUCCUCCGCAGCCAUCGAACACAAAGAUGAACUCAGAAGCAAGCCCUUUGAUAUUCUUUGAUAAUUCCGAAGUGGAAAGAAAUUUAGAAUCUAAGAACUUUUCAACUGAAAAAAAAAAAAGUGCCAGUUAGAACUACAUAAACCCUCUUUGACCCCUUGUGACAUUUAAAUACUAUGCUUCCAACCCGA